rnacentral:lncRNA from 1 species
GCCGUCAUCGUUCUCGUAUGCUCGAAAGUCUAAUUGGUACCCUCACUCUUGUUUUCUAUGUAGAUUAGUCAAUAGCUCCAAUAUUACCCGUUUUUUUUAUUAAUCCUGUUAAACUAAAUUAGACUUUUGGAAUUUUGGAAAAUUAAUGGCCGAGUUAGUUUAGUAGUCAUUCAGUAUAUUUUUGUUUUUGCAUGAUAGGCUAGUUAAGUUUGAUUUUCGUUUUCCCUUCAAUCUGUUUUGUUUGAUUUGCCCUAAUUUGUCUCCAGUUGUAUGAAAUAGGAGUGUGGACUGUCAUUUGUUUUAAAAGAGGGUUUAAAGGAUUAAUUUCAAAACUUUAAGGGGUAAUUGAGAUUUAUUCCUGUGAGUUUAAAGAUUUUUUUGGCUUGGUAAGUUCUAGAAAGUUUUUGGGAGGGGCUUUAGGUAAUCAAACCAUCAGAGUUUAGGAUAGGAUAGGUAAAAUUGUAAUAACUAGUGUUUGGAAGGGUAAAAGUAGGAUUUUACAUGAGGUAAAUAUCAGAAUAUUCUGGACUUAUGUACAUUUGUCCCUAUCCUUGUGAUAAAAUUGUGAUAUUGGGGGGAAAAGGACGGACACCUGUAGCAAAAGGACUGUACCAUUAAGAGAAUUCAGAAUUUAGGGUAGAAUAUUCCUUUUUGAUACCUUUUGGAUGCCCUAUAUAUAAAGCACUCACUCACACAAAGGGGCAAAUUUUAAUCAUCAAGUUUCUCUGAGAAAGUUCCAUUAUUCUCUCUAAAAACUUUGGGACUCAAAAUAGCUUUUGAAAAUAUCAGAAAUCUUCUAUUGCUUUACAAGUGG